CCCUUGAGCUUCACACCAAAGACUGUUGCCAAAUUGCAUACCUUUUCCAGGUGAAGAUUUUUGGACUGAUGGCAAGUCUGUUGUGUUUGCUGUACACCAUUAGGAAACAGCACCGUGGUGGCUGAGCGCUUUGUGCUGGAAGUCAACUAAGACAGUCACUUUUUCAGACAUGUUUGGAAGGAGAUGUUUUCCAUCAGACAUCUAUAAGCGAUUUCCUUCUACCCUGAAGACAUAAAGAUGUGUAGAGGACCAUUAAUAGGAAUGGAUGUGCUCGAGCAGAAGGUAAGUGCAGCAGAAGGCUGUCUGUAACCCCUGCUCUUUGUGCCCCUGUCUUCCUCUUACAUCGAUUGCUGACGAUUGCUGGCUACAGUUUAAUGCCCUGUUAAGAGCUAAAGAACACUGACUCUGCAGGCAAUGGUCCUCUCCUGAGCUUUGAAUUCCUGAAACAGUUCAGUGCAAGAGAAUUUUCUGUGUGCAAAUAUUUACCUGUCUAUUCUCCUGCUUGGCAGGUGAAAACUGAACCAGCAGCCUGGGUGUAUGCCACAGGUCUCAUGGGGCCUUUACUGUUCGUACAAGGCUUGUCUGUGAAACAAGUGGCUUGUAUAAAGGCAUUAUACCCCCAACAUGAAUGAAGGAUGGGUUAACCGGGCAGAAAAGCCUCUCAGAAG
ensembl:lncRNA